rnacentral:rRNA from 1 species
GAUGAACGCUGACAGAAUGCUUAACACAUGCAAGUCUACUUGAAUUUGGGUCUUUGACUUAGAUUUGGGUGGCGGACGGGUGAGUAACGCGUAAAGAACUUGCCUCACAGUUAGGGACAACAUUUGGAAACGAAUGCUAAUACCUGAUAUUAUGAUUAUACGGCAUCGUAUAAUUAUGAAAGCUAUAUGCGCUGUGAGAGAGCUUUGCGUCCCAUUAGCUAGUUGGAGAGGUAACGGCUCACCAAGGCGAUGAUGGGUAGCCGGCCUGAGAGGGUGAACGGCCACAAGGAGACUGAGACACGGCCCUUACUCCUACGGGAGGCAGCAGUGGGGAAUAUUGGACAAUGGACCAAAAGUCUGAUCCAGCAAUUCUGUGUGCACGAUGACGUUUUUCGGAAUGUAAAGUGCUUUCAGUUGGGAAGAAAAAAAUGACGGUACCAACAGAAGAA